GGUUAAGCGACUAAGCGUACACGGUGGAUGCCCUGGCAGUCAGAGGCGAUGAAGGACGUGCUAAUCUGCGAUAAGCGUCGGUAAGGUGAUAUGAACCGUUAUAACCGGCGAUUUCCGAAUGGGGAAACCCAGUGUGAUUCGUCACACUAUCAUUAACUGAAUCCAUAGGUUAAUGAGGCGAACCGGGGGAACUGAAACAUCUAAGUACCCCGAGGAAAAGAAAUCAACCGAGAUUCCCCCAGUAGCGGCGAGCGAACGGGGAGCAGCCCAGAGCCUGAAUCAGUGUGUGUGUUAGUGGAAGCGUCUGGAAAGGCGCGCGAUACAGGGUGACAGCCCCGUACACAAAAAUGCACAUACUGUGAGCUCGAUGAGUAGGGCGGGACACGUGGUAUCCUGUCUGAAUAUGGGGGGACCAUCCUCCAAGGCUAAAUACUCCUGACUGACCGAUAGUGAACCAGUACCGUGAGGGAAAGGCGAAAAGAACCCCGGCGAGGGGAGUGAAAAAGAACCUGAAACCGUGUACGUACAAGCAGUGGGAGCCUCUUUAUGGGGUGACUGCGUACCUUUUGUAUAAUGGGUCAGCGACUUAUAUUCUGUAGCAAGGUUAACCGAAUAGGGGAGCCGAAGGGAAACCGAGUCUUAACUGGGCGUUAAGUUGCAGGGUAUAGACCCGAAACCCGGUGAUCUAGCCAUGGGCAGGUUGAAGGUUGGGUAACACUAACUGGAGGACCGAACCGACUAAUGUUGAAAAAUUAGCGGAUGACUUGUGGCUGGGGGUGAAAGGCCAAUCAAACCGGGAGAUAGCUGGUUCUCCCCGAAAGCUAUUUAGGUAGCGCCUCGUGAAUUCAUCUCCGGGGGUAGAGCACUGUUUCGGCAAGGGGGUCAUCCCGACUUACCAACCCGAUGCAAACUGCGAAUACCGGAGAAUGUUAUCACGGGAGACACACGGCGGGUGCUAACGUCCGUCGUGAAGAGGGAAACAACCCAGACCGCCAGCUAAGGUCCCAAAGUCAUGGUUAAGUGGGAAACGAUGUGGGAAGGCCCAGACAGCCAGGAUGUUGGCUUAGAAGCAGCCAUCAUUUAAAGAAAGCGUAAUAGCUCACUGGUCGAGUCGGCCUGCGCGGAAGAUGUAACGGGGCUAAACCAUGCACCGAAGCUGCGGCAGCGACGCUUAUGCGUUGUUGGGUAGGGGAGCGUUCUGUAAGCCUGUGAAGGUGUACUGUGAGGUAUGCUGGAGGUAUCAGAAGUGCGAAUGCUGACAUAAGUAACGAUAAAGCGGGUGAAAAGCCCGCUCGCCGGAAGACCAAGGGUUCCUGUCCAACGUUAAUCGGGGCAGGGUGAGUCGACCCCUAAGGCGAGGCCGAAAGGCGUAGUCGAUGGGAAACAGGUUAAUAUUCCUGUACUUGGUGUUACUGCGAAGGGGGGACGGAGAAGGCUAUGUUGGCCGGGCGACGGUUGUCCCGGUUUAAGCGUGUAGGCUGGUUUUCCAGGCAAAUCCGGAAAAUCAAGGCUGAGGCGUGAUGACGAGGCACUACGGUGCUGAAGCAACAAAUGCCCUGCUUCCAGGAAAA
rnacentral:rRNA from 1 species